rnacentral:misc_RNA from 1 species
UCCGGUUUAUCACCGGCGGUCUCCCUAGAGUCCUCGACAUAACUCGUUAGUAACUAAGGACAAGGGUUGCGCUCGUUACGGGACUUAACCCAACAUCUCACGACACGAGCUGACGACAGCCAUGCAGCACCUGUCUCACGGUUCCCGAAGGCACUUCCGCAUCUCUGCAGAAUUCCGUGGAUUCAAGAGUAGGUAAGGUUCUUCGCGUUGCAUCGAAUUAAACCACAUGCUCCACCGCUUGUGCGGGCCCCCGUCAAUUCCUUUGAGUUUAAGCCUUGCGGCCGUACUCCCCAGGCGGUCAACUUCACGCGUUAGCUUCGUUACCAAGGAAUUACUUCCCCGACAACCAGUUGACAUCGUUUAGGGCGUGGACUAC